UAGCGGUGAAAUGCGUAGAUAUUAGGAGGAACACCAGUGGCGAAGGCGACUUACUGGACGAUAACUGACGCUGAGGCUCGAAAGCGUGGGGAGCAAACAGGAUUAGAUACCCUGGUAGUCCACGCUGUAAACGAUGAAUACUAGCUGUUGGGGAGCAUUGCUCUUCAGUGGCGCAGCAAACGCAAUAAGUAUUCCACCUGGGGAGUACGCCGGCAACGGUGAAACUCAAAGGAAUUGACGGGGGCCCGCACAAGCGGAGGAACAUGUGGUUUAAUUCGAUGAUACGCGAGGAACCUUACCCGGGCUUGAAUUGCAGAGGAAGGAUUUGGAGACAAUGACGCCCUUCGGGGUCUCUGUGAAGGUGCUGCAUGGUUGUCGUCAGCUCGUGCCGUGAGGUGUCGGCUUAAGUGCCAUAACGAGCGCAACCCCUCUCCUUAGUUGCCAUCAGGUCAGGCUGGGCACUCUGGGGACACUGCCACCGUAAGGUGUGAGGAAGGUGGGGAUGACGUCAAAUCAGCACGGCCCUUACGUCCGGGGCUACACACGUGUUACAAUGGCAGGUACAGAGAGAUGGUGUUCUGCAAAGCGCAUCUAAUCCUUAAAGCCUGUCUCAGUUCGGACUGGGGUCUGCAACCCGACCCCACGAAGCUGGAUUCGCUAGUAAUCGCGCAUCAGCCAUGGCGCGGUGAAUACGUUCCCGGGCCUUGUACACACCGCCCGUCAAG
rnacentral:rRNA from 1 species